AUUCUCACCAGCCAUCCAUCACGACGGUCACUAUCCAUGCCACAUUCAUGCAGUCGCUUCAGAUGUAGGAGGGAGGACGUAGUUGUUGUGCAUUUCUAGGAUGGAAAAAAAA